GUCUUGAGGCAAUGUUAUCCUUACGAACCGUGUCAGAUCCGGAAGGAAGCAGCACUAAGUUUGGUAUAGCAUGUGCCUUAAGUUAAU
rnacentral:SRP_RNA from 1 species